rnacentral:lncRNA from 1 species
UCAGAGGGUAGAAGAAUGUCGGAGGAGUUGGAAGUGGAAAACAGCAGGAUUUGGAGUCUUACUGAUUAAUUUUCAUGACAUGACCCCUCAUCUCUGAUUGGCUAAGAGCAACACGCCUCUUCUGCCACCUUUGUUCGCUCUCAUUUCUCGGGUAAAAAAGUUGCAAUGCUAAUAUUUUUUCUCCACAAGUAACAGAAGCCUGAAUGAGUUCCACCAUGCUGCUGAUGCUAGCGCUUAGCCUCUACUAGCCGAGACGCGCUCUGCUCUCUCCUGGCUACAAAAUCAACACAGCCUUCCACGGGCCCAAGUCAAGGUGCGGGAGUCCAUGAAUGCAAGUCUUCCCUUUGAUGUGGAAGAGCCUGGCUUUCGCUGACCCGAUCAUUUCCUCAUCUUUUUAGGAUGAGAAUAUUUUUACAUUCGCUAUGCAUGCAUGCACAACUCGGAGUGAUUUCAAGAAGAACAAGUAUUACACAUUUCUCAGUGAUGGAGGCCUUUAAGGUCUCCCAGCUACACUAACAGUAGAAAACUGCAGCGAUAUAUUUGUGGCACACAUCAUAGUAAAAAUACAGCUCAUAAUUAAUAUUGUGAAUGAGCUUUUCAACUCAGGCUCAGAAAAUACGUUUUUGUUUCUCCUUGUUUUAAUGCUUCCCCUCUGGUGUCACAGAAAGUAAAACCAACUGGAAUGCAACAAAUGUGUCUCUAUUAUGGCAUCAAAUCGACACACUUUCUCUCCUCUGUGGUGUGUGUGUGUGUGUGCGUGUGUGUGUGUGUGUGUGUGUGUGUGUGUGUGUGUGUGUGUGUGUGUGUGUGUGUGAGAGAGAGAGAAUCUAUGGUGUGAACCAGUUGUUAGUAGCUGGCCUACGACUUUCUGCCUCUCUGUCCUGUUUGCUCCGGUUGGAAGACGCCCAAAACCACACCCCCUUCACGUGGUCAGACACACACACGUUCGCUGUGUGUGUGUGUGUGUUUGUGUGGUUUUUAUGCAGUGUCUGUUUACGAACACAUUUGACUAUCGCGGAAUUGUAUUUUGAAAUGCUUUAUUUUGUUAAAUUUACCAGCCUGCCUCUUAUGUCUAGGUUUGACUUCCUGCCAGAAUUGACGCGGUCCACCCACGGCUUGCGAAAAAAAUAG